rnacentral:rRNA from 1 species
GACGCACGCUGGGGGCGUGCUUAACACAUGCAAGUCGAGCGGAGCGGCGAACGGGUGCAUAACGCGUGAGUAACUGCCCCCCUCUCUGGGAUAACAGUUGGAAACGGCUGCUAAUACCGGAUAGUGGGGGAUGACUCGCGUCCUAUCAGCUUGUUGAUGGGGUAGUGGCCUACCAAGGCGACGACGGGUAGCCGGCCUGAGAGGGCGACCGGCCACAUUGGGCUGAGAUACGGCCCCAAAUCCAACGGGAGGCAGUAGUGGGGAAUAUUGCACCAUGGGGGAAACCCUGAUGCAGCAACGCCGCGGGCGGGAUGACGGCCUGCGGGUUGUAAACCGCGUUCAGCCAUGACGCGGGAGUGGCAGAAGAAGCACCGGCUAACUACGUGCCAGCAGCCGCGGUAAUUC